UCGAGAAUCUUCCGCAAUGGACGAAAGUCUGACGGAGCGACGCCGCGUGGUGGAUGAAGCGCUUAGGCGCGUAAACACCUUUUAUGAGGGAGGAAGUUUAUUGACGUUACCUCAUGAAUAAGGGGCUCCCAACUCUGUGCCAGCAGGAGCGGUAAUACAGAGGCCCCAAGCAUUAUCCGGAUUCACUGGGCGUAAAGGGUGCGUAGGCGGUGUGAUUAGUCAAGUGUUAAAUCCUCGGGCUCAACCCGAG
rnacentral:rRNA from 1 species